GGAAAGCAAGAUUCUGAACUAGUGCAAAAUAAUGGAACGAAUUUGGUUAUCGUCUAAUUUGACAAUUCUCUUGGUGUUGGUUGUUGCCGCUUCUCCAACUUUCUCUACUUCCAGUUCUGAUGGAGUCUCACUCUCAUCCUCUCUCGCUUCUACAGGAAGGCAUCUGCUUCAGACAAAGAAAGCGUGUCCUAUUAACUUCGAAUUUCUGAACUACACGGUGAUCACGAGCCAAUGCAAAGCACCCAAAUACCCAGCCCACGAGUGUUGUGCGGCGUUCAAGAAAUUCGCUUGCCCUUACGCAAAAGAGAUCAAUGAUUUGACAACCGAUUGUGCUUCAACCAUGUUCAGCUACAUUAACCUUUACGGCAAAUAUCCGCCUGGUCUUUUCGCUAACGAGUGCCGAGAAGGGAAGGAAGGCCUCAACUGCCCCAAAUCUCCUCCACCCUCUGCAACUACAAAUAUUGCUAAUUAAUAUACUCAUUUGCAGUAACGGGUCUAGUUAUGAUCACCAAAAUCCUGUUAACAAUGGUGAUUCCUAUACCAAAAAUAUUUAGACUUUGUUUGGUUUUAAGGGCUUUUGUGUGAUUG